AGAUUGAACGCUGGCGGCAUGCCUUACACAUGCAAGUCGAGCGCGAAAGGGGGGCAACUCCCGUGUAGAGCGGCGGACGGGUGAGUAACGCAUCGGAACGUGCCUAGUAGUGGGGGACAACCUCGAGAAAUCGAGGCUAAUACCGCAUACGACCUACGGGUGAAAGCGGGGGACCGCAAGGCCUCGCGCUAUUAGAGCGGCCGAUGUCCGAUUAGCUAGUUGGCGGGGUAAGAGCCCACCAAGGCGACGAUCGGUAGCUGGUCUGAGAGGACGACCAGCCACACUGGGACUGAGACACGGCCCAGACUCCUACAGGAGGCAGCAGUGGGGAAUUUUGGACAAUGGGGGCAACCCUGAUCCAGCCAUGCCGCGUGCGGGAAGAAGGCCUUCGGGUUGUAAACCGCUUUCGGCCGGAACGAAAUCGCACCCGUGAAUAUCGGGUGUGGAUGACGGUACCGGAAGAAGAAGCACCGGCUAACUACGUGCCAGCAGCCGCGGUAAUACGUAGGGUGCGAGCGUUAAUCGGAAUUACUGGGCGUAAAGCGUGCGCAGGCGGUCUCGUAAGACAGGUGUGAAAUCCCCGGGCUUAACCUGGGAACUGCGCUUGUGACUGCGAGGCUGGAGUGCGGCAGAGGGAGGUGGAAUUCCGCGUGUAGCAGUGAAAUGCGUAGAGAUGUGGAGGAACACCGAUGGCGAAGGCAGCCUCCUGGGCCAGCACUGACGCUCAUGCACGAAAGCGUGGGGAGCAAACAGGAUUAGAUACCCUGGUAGUCCACGCCCUAAACGAUGACGACUAGUUGUGGGGGUAGAAGUACCUUAGUAACGCAGCUAACGCGUGAAGUCGUCCGCCUGGGGGAGUACGGUCGCAAGAUUAAA
rnacentral:rRNA from 1 species